rnacentral:rRNA from 1 species
AUUGAACGCUGGCGGCAGGCCUAACACAUGCAAGUCGAGCGGAUGAAGGGAGCUUGCUCCUGGAUUCAGCGGCGGACGGGUGAGUAAUGCCUAGGAAUCUGCCUGGUAGUGGGGGAUAACGUCCGGAAACGGGCGCUAAUACCGCAUACGUCCUGAGGGAGAAAGUGGGGGAUCUUCGGACCUCACGCUAUCAGAUGAGCCUAGGUCGGAUUAGCUAGUUGGUGGGGUAAAGGCCUACCAAGGCGACGAUCCGUAACUGGUCUGAGAGGAUGAUCAGUCACACUGGAACUGAGACACGGUCCAGACUCCUACGGGAGGCAGCAGUGGGGAAUAGUAGACAAUGGGCGAAAGCCUGGUCCAGCCAGGCCGCGUGUGUGAAGAAGGUCUUCGGAUUGUAAAGCACGUUAAGUUGGGAGGAAGGGCAGUAAGUUAAUACCUUGCGGUUGUGACGUUACCAACAGAAUAAGCACCGGCUAACUUCGUG